GAUGAAGAACGUAGCGAAAUGCGAUACGUAAUGUGAAUUGCAGAAUUCAGUGAAUCAUCGAAUCUUUGAACGCACAUUGCGCCUGCCAGCACUCUGGCAGGCAUGCCUGUUCGAGCGUCAUUUCAACCAUCAAGCCCUAGGCUUGCGUUGGAGCCCUGCGGCUGCCGCAGGCCCCUAAAAGCAGUGGCGGGCUCGCUAUCACACCGAGUGCAGUAGAUUACUCUUCGCUCAGGGCGUGUGGCGGGUUCCAGCCGUGAAACCCCUACUUCUCAAGGUUGACCUCGGAUCAGGUAUGAAUACCCGCUGAACUUAAGCAUAUCAAUAAGCGGAGGA
rnacentral:misc_RNA from 1 species